rnacentral:lncRNA from 1 species
CCGUUAGACUUGAUCUACACUAUUGAAAGUACUUGGAAACUAAAUUUCAUAAUUUUUCGGCGUCAUUUACCAAUCAAACGAGUAGUCUAAAAAUGAACGGCUGAAAAUAAAAAUCUUAUAAAAAACAGUGAUAAAGAAUUCGAAUUUCAAAUCGGAAGUAUUGGUCUUGCUAUUGAUGUUAAGUAGAAUUUUCUAUUAAAUUUUCAUCUAAUUUGGAUACUUCUACACCGUUGAACUUAAAAACGCAUCAUAUCUACCAUUAAAAUUGUUAAUUUUGGAACCUUUUGAUCACUAGCCAAAUGAUGUCGAAAAAUUAUGAAAUUUAGUUUUCAAAUAUUUUUAAUAGUAUAGAUCAAGUCUAACGGAGCCGAUCGUCGAUUUGAAAGCCGCAUCAUUGAAAACAACUUGGUAGCACGGAGACCUCUGUGCUACCGAUAGUAUACCAGCCUAGCUCUAUAUAUAUAUAUAUAUAAUCUGGCUACUAUACUCUUAUAAGUACGAUCGCCCUCGUAUUCAUAAGUCGUUUUCGAUAAUAGAGCUUUCGAAUCGACGAUCCAUGCCGUUAAACGUUAUUUACAGCAUUUAAAACUUCUAGAAAUCAAAUUUUAUAAUUUUUCGAUAUCAUUUACCUUACAAUCAAAAGCUCACAAAAUUGACAAUUUUUAACUGCCGGUAUGAGAUAUUUGCUAGUUUAAUGGUGGAAAAGAAUCGGAAUAGGUUGAAUUUUUGAUAGAAAAUUCUAUUCACUAUCUAAAUAAAGAUCAAUAACUCCGAUCUUAUAUUGAAGGAUCUGAUCAUCCAUUUUUAGGAUGUCAUUCGAUUUCGACCGUUCAUUUUAUACCCACUUGAUGGAUUUUAUUAUGAUUUUGAAAAAUCACGAAAUUUAUUUUCUAGAAGUUUCAAAUACUCUAGAUCAUAUUUAACGGAGUGGAUUAUCGAUUCGGAAGCUCCAUCAUUGAAAACAGCUUAUGAGUAUUAAGAACUCUAUACUCAUAAGAGUAUAGUAGCCAUAGCCUAUAUAUAUAUAUAUAUAUAUAUAUAUAGAGUAGGGCUACUGUACUCUUACGAGUAUAGAACCCUUUGUACACAUAAGUUGUUUUGACUAAUGGAGUUUCUGAAUCGACCAUCCAUUCCAUUAAAUAGGAUAUAGAAAAAAAUAAAUUUCAUAAUUUUUUAAAAUUAUAAUAAAGUCCAUCAAACAGAUAUAAAAUUAGCGGUCAAAAUCAAAAGACGUCCUAAAACUAGAUGUUCGGAUCCUUCAAAUUAAGAUCGGAGAUAUUGAUCUUUAUCUAGAUAGUAAAUAGAAUUUUUUUAUAAAAAAUUCAACUAAUUCUGAUUAUUUCACACCGUUAAACUAGCAAAUAUUCUAUACUGGCCGUUAAAGAUUAUCAAUUUUGAGAUUUUUUGGCAUAAGAUAAAUAAUGUCAAAAAAUUAUAAAAUUUAAUUUCUAAAAAUUUUAAAUACUCAAGAUAAUAUUUAACGGUAUUAAUCGUCGAUUCUAAAGCUCCAUCGUUGAAAAUGACUUAUGAGUGUGAAGUGAUGUGCAGUUAGGAUAAUAAUGAUCUAUGGUUAUGGUGAUAGUGGUCUCCUAGGGUUGAGUGAGUGGUUGGUUGAAUAGUAUGAUCUAACGGAUGGAAAUGGUUAAAAGGAUAAAUCUAAUGGUCCAAAAUUUAUAAAGAAAUCUAUACUGAUGAAAAUAUAUAAAGUGGCCAUACUCUCUCUCUCUCUCUCUCUCUCUCUCUCUCUCUCUCUCUCUCUCUCUCUAUAUAUAUAUAUAUAUAUAUAUAUAUAUAUAUAUAUAC